rnacentral:rRNA from 1 species
UACGGAGGGGGCUAGCGUUGUUCGGAAUUACUGGGCGUAAAGCGCACGUAGGCGGCUUUGUAAGUUAGAGGUGAAAGCCCAGGGCUUACCACUGGAAUUGCCUUUAAGACUGCAUCGCUAGAAUUGUGGAGAGGUAAGUGGAAUUCCGAAGUGUAGAGGUGAAAUUCGUAGAUAUUCGGAAGGAACACCAGUGGCGAAGGCGACUUA